rnacentral:misc_RNA from 1 species
GAUGAAGAACGCAGCGAAAUGCGAUACGUAAUGUGAAUUGCAGAAUUCAGUGAAUCAUCGAGUCUUUGAACGCACAUUGCGCCCCCUGGUAUUCCGGGGGGCAUGCCUGUCCGAGCGUCAUUGCUGCCCUCAAGCACGGCUUGUGUGUUGGGCCUCCGUCCUCCUCCCGGGGGACGGGCCCGAAAGGCAGCGGCGGCACCGCGUCCGGUCCUCGAGCGUAUGGGGCUUCGUCACCCGCUCUUGUAGGCCCGGCCGGCACUUGCCGACACAUCAAUCUUUUUUCCAGGUUGACCUCGAAUCAGGUAGGGAUACCCGCUGAACUUAAGCAUAUCAAUAAGCGGAGGA